AUGGAGCAACGCCGCGUUGAGUGAAGAAGGCUUUCGGGUCGUAAAACUCUGUUGUUGGAGAAGAAUGGUCGGCAGAGUAACUGUUGUCGGCGUGACGGUAUCCAACCAGAAAGCCACGGCUAACUACGUGCCAGCAGCCGCGGUAAUACGUAGGUGGCAAGCGUUUAUCCGGAUUUAUUGGGCGUAAAGCGAGCGCAGGCGGUUUUUUAAGUCUGAUGUGAAAGCCCUCGGCUUAACCGAGGAAGUGCAUCGGAAACUGGGAAACUUGAGUGCAGAAGAGGACAGUGGAACUCCAUGUGUAGCGGUGAAAUGCGUAGAUAUAUGGAAGAACACCAGUGGCGAAGGCGGCUGUCUGGUCUGUAACUGACGCUGAGGCUCGAAAGCAUGGGUAGCAAACAGGAUUAGAUACCCUGGUAGUCCAUGCCGUAAACGAUGAAUGCUAGGUGUUGGAGGGUUUCCGCCCUUCAGUGCCGCAGCUAACGCAUUAAGCAUUCCGCCUGGGGAGUACGACCGCAAGGUUGAAACUCAAAGGAAUUGACGGGGGCCCGCACAAGCGGUGGAGCAUGUGGUUUAAUUCGAAGCAACGCGAAGAACCUUACCAGGUCUUGACAUCUUUUGAUCAC
rnacentral:rRNA from 2 species